GGCCUACCAUGGUGGUAACGGGUAACGGGGUGUUAGGGCACGACACCGGAGAGGGAGCCUGAGAAACGGCUACCACAUCCAAGGAUGGCAGCAGGCGCGCAAAUUACCCAAUCCCGACACGGGGAGGUAGUGACAAUAAAUAACAAUACGGGGCUCUUUUGGGUCUCGUAAUUGGAAUGAGUACAAUUUAAAUCUCUUAACGAGGAACAAUUGGAGGGCAAGUCUGGUGCCAGCAGCCGCGGUAAUUCCAGCUCCAAUAGCGUAUAUUAAAGUUGUUGCAGUUAAAAAGCUCGUAGUUGAAUUUCGGGGUCAGUAGGUUGGUCGUGCCUAUGGUAUGUACUGGCUUUACUGAUUCCUCCUUCUUGAAGAACUGUAAUGUCAUUAAUUUGGUGUUGCAGGGAAACAGGACUGUUACUUUGAAAAAAUUAGAGUGUUUAAAGCAGGCUAACGCUUGAAUACAUUAGCAUGGAAUAAUGAAAUAGGACGUUUGAUCCUAUUUUGUUGGUUUCUAGGAUUGACGUAAUGAUUAAUAGGGAUAGUUGGGGGCAUUAGUAUUCAAUUGUCAGAGGUGAAAUUCUUGGAUUUAUUGAAGACUGACUACUGCGAAAGCAUUUGCCAAGGAUGUUUUCAUUAAUCAAGAACGAAAGUUAGGGGAUCGAAGACGAUCAGAUACCGUCGUAGUCUUAACCAUAAACUAUGCCGACUAGGGAUCGGAUGAUGUUAAUUUUUUAAUGACUCAUUCGGCGCCUUACG
rnacentral:rRNA from 1 species